UUUGGGUGUAAGAACCCCUGGUAUAGGCAGCCAAAGCGCCCCCAAGUUUCAGCUCUUAAGUCCCCUUCUACUGUGGGAUACUCCUCUGAGUCCAUACCUGAACCUGCAACUAUCUCUGGUUCCGGUUUCAGAGAUUUAAAACUAAAUAUCAGGUCGCUGGUUUGUGGGAUUGUGGAUUGGAAUCAAGUGGCCUUUGGAUUAUCUACCUAUUCUUAAAACCGUGGCUUGACUGGAGCCUUGUGUGAAGGGCUGCAUCCAUUGCAAGCUGAACUCCAUUACCACCCUCUUUUAUUCCAUCGAAGGUUAAAGUACUGUGUUCAUUAAAUUUACAGAAAAUCUCAUGCCCUUUCAAGUUGUUUCUGUUUAUUCCUAAGACCAUUUUUGUUUCCUUUCUACUCCUUUUCUUUCAAUUCUAAUUACGGUCAGUCCCA